rnacentral:rRNA from 1 species
UACGAAGGGGGCUAGCGUUGCUCGGAAUCACUGGGCGUAAAGGGUGCGUAGGCGGGUUUUUAAGUCAGGGGUGAAAUCCUGGAGCUCAACUCCAGAACUGCCUUUGAUACUGAAGAUCUUGAGUCCGGGAGAGGUGAGUGGAACUGCGAGUGUAGAGGUGAAAUUCGUAGAUAUUCGCAAGAACACCAGUGGCGAAGGCGACUUACUGGACUGUAACUGACGCUGAGGCAUGAAAGCGUGGGGAGCAAACAGG